ACUGAGCAAGAUGGCCACCUCCUGGUGGUAAGUCUCGCUCCUGGAGUUCCCAUCUUGACCCUACAGCGGGACAUUUUGCCGCCACCUCUUUGUGUGUUGGGAAGAUGACGUCCUUUCUGCUCGUCCUGCUUCUCUGAUUGAUCUGUGUCUCUGGAGAUCCCUUUGCUCAGCCAUCAGAUCAAGCAGGCAUCCAUGGUUCAGAAUGGUGAUGACCUGGGCAAGAGCUCACCAGUAAGGAGCAAAGGGGCCCGCCUGCCACUCUUAAGCAGAGCGCCUGCUGAAUCAGGAUUUCCAAGGCUCCGGCUGAGUGCCUGGCUGGGGGCUGUGUGUGCAGAUGCCACAAGAUGGACAAGACUGAGGACGCAGAUGAGGAAACUGAAGCAACUGUUCAAGAAGAGGAUAUAAAAAGGGACAGGCAUUGAUGAUGAUAUCAGAGCUUCUUCCUGGGGAAUCUCAGCCUCACAUGAUGGAGUAUGACUAAAGGAAAAAAAUAAGGCUCUUCACAUACUUUCUUGGCAGUCUGUGAGGGUCAGGGUUGAUUUUGUGUCCCUAAAAUGUCACAUGAAGUUCAUAGGCACUUCCAAAGGGGCAGUCUAGCAAGUUAAAGAGUAGAUGUGGGGCUGUGUGGAGUCCAUUGUUUGGGUAAUCUUUUUCAAACAGUAGGAAUAUACCAGCUUGUAAAGAUUUGCCCACUUAGCUUCAAGUCUCUCUGAACACAUUUCCCCCCGCUCUAUGAAUAGAUGAAGACAUACAAAUGGAACUCUUGAUAUUCUUAAGUGAAAAACAUGAUAUGGAAUAGCAGAUAAAUACAAACAAUUUCUUAUCCAGCAAAGAGCUCCAGAAAUAUUUUGACUUCAUUUAAAACAGUUAUAUAAAUAUUUGCUGGUGGAAUUUUUUUCUAAACCAAAUACCCUGAAGGAUUUUAGUUGUCUAUCUACAACUUUUUGCUUGUGGAAAAUGUUGACUUCCUGGUUACUUUGACUUGUGUUCACCUGAAAUUUUGCUUUUGCAGUAGUUUUUCUUAUGAUUUAGUGGCAUUGCCUGUCCAGUGACAGGAAGUGGUGUUCUUAUUGGGACUAAUAUGUGUUAUGGCCCUAGAACCAGCAGAAGCCACUCCUGCUUUUUUCCACACUCUUCUUUCUAUAGAAGAGAAGGGAAUGAGGAUCCCACAUGGCAUUCACUGCCUUGAGCAUACUGAGAUUUCUUUGCAAAAGGAGAAACAGCACCAGCAACUAAGCAUUUUAUCCCAUUUUAUUUUACUUCUUCUAUGAUUCUUUGCCACUUAGCAAUGC
rnacentral:lncRNA from 1 species